ACAAGUACCGUGAGGGAAAGUUGAAAAGAACUUAGAGGUGAGAGUUCAACAGGGCGUGAAACCGCUUAGAAGUAAACGGAUGGUGCUGACAUUGUUUCUGCCGGAUUCAGCCGGUCUGACGGUCAUCCGUUCGUUCGCCGAUCGCAAGACGGCGGGCGGAGUGCAUUGACCUAGGACCGGUGCAUUUCCGGUAGAAUGCAUCAUGACCGCUGGCGACGCUGGCAAAAGGGCGGUUUGUUGCCGAUUGCAGGUCUUCGGACUUGCAGUGACCCACUUACCGUUUCCUGUCCGAGUUGGCGUCAGCGGGAACUGGACGUGCCCGGCUUUCUCAUGUUGUGCUUUCCUUUGGCCGAAUGCAAGGUCGAACCGUGCUUGCACGGUCUGGCAACCCUCGGUUAUUCGAUUGUGCAGCGUUUGAGGUGGCACUGAAGGUCAAUGGUGUCCGCGUCAGUCUCCCAUCCGACCCGUCUUGAAACACGGACCAAGGAGUCUAACAUGUGCGCAAGUCAUAGGGUGGAAAACCCAAAGGCGUAAUGAAAGUAAAGGCCGCAAGGCUGAGGUGUGAUGUCCUGUUUAACGGGAUCGCAACACCGUCCCAUCGCAUCGGCUUGUCCGGGCGGUGGAGAUAGAGCGUACAUGUUGGGACCCGAAAGAUGGUGAACUAUGCCUGAGCAGGAUGAAGCCAGAGGAAACUCUGGUGGAGGUCCGUAGCGGUUCUGACGUGCAAAUCGAUCGUCAGACUUGGGUAUAGGGGCGAAAGACUAAUCGAACCAUCUAGUAGCUGGUUCCUUCCGU
rnacentral:rRNA from 1 species